rnacentral:tRNA from 1 species
GCGGGUGUGGCGGAAUGGUAGACGCCGGGGACUUAAAAUCCCCUGUCCUUAGGACGUGUGGGUUCGAGUCCCACCACCCGCACCA